rnacentral:lncRNA from 1 species
AGAGAGUGUUUUUGCGCCUCUUUCUGUCAAAAGAUAGACCCUCUAGGUCGACUAAAUCCUUAUAUAGUUUAUAAAAAUAACAUAAAAUUGGCCCAGGCCCACGCUGACCGUGCUCAGCGCUAAAAUGACGCUCAACGGUAGGUGUGGCACUUAGAAGGACACUCAGUGGUGGCGCCCAAGCGUGAGAUAGAGAACUCAUCACCAAGACUGGUGCUCAGCGACAAAGUGGCGUGCAACAGUGAGUGCGGUACUUUGAUUUGGCCCUCAGCGUUGGCGCUCAAGCGUCAAAUAGUGAACUCAACAACAAACUUGGCGCUCA